rnacentral:rRNA from 1 species
UACGGGGGGAGCAAGCGUUGUUCGGAUUUACUGGGCGUAAAGGGCGCGUAGGCGGUCAGCACAAGUCAGUUGUGAAAUCUCCGGGCUUAACUCGGAAAGGUCAACUGAUACUGUGCGACUAGAGUGCAGAAGGGGCAACUGGAAUUCUCGGUGUAGAGGUGAAAUGCAUUGAGAUCGGAAAGAACACCAACGGCGAAAGCACUCUGCUGGGCCGACACUGACACUGAGAGACGAAAGCUAGGGGAGCAAAUGGG